CAGUUGUUGGGCUUUCCACAACGCGCAUCAUGCAAUCGCUGCGUCUGUGUAACAUCCCAAAUUUUCAAACUUUUACAUGUGCAUUGCAUCCAUGAGCAUCAUGCCACAAUUGCAUGUUUGAAUUCAAAUUUGAAUCACAAAAGACUUUAAAAGAUUUUGUUUACACCCAUAUGAGCUUUGGAUUUUCAAACCAAUAGGCUUUAUGUAUAAAAGGGCUUAAUGCACAUAUAAGCCAUCCCAUAAUUUUUGGAUAAUUAUUUGGAGUUGAAAAAGUAUUUUAUCUAAAUAGAUAUAUAGCCCUAGAGGCAUUUAUAGGGCAAAUAUAUUUUUGUAUAUUUUUAUUUUGAGGGGAAAAUACUCCCAAAAGUUGUAUCAUGGUGGAACAUGAUUUUACAAAUUUUCUGCGAUUUAUUUGGACCAAUUUGGAGUUCAAAACCAAAAGAUAUCAAAGGAAUAAGAAAAACAGAAAAAGAAAAGGGUAAAAGAAAAAAAAGGGAGCAAACGGACCGGCCCGGCCACUUUGGGCCGAACCGGCCCAGUCCGCCCGCACGCG
rnacentral:lncRNA from 1 species